UGUGUGCUCGGUUGCUCCUCAGUCCCCCCGCCCGCUCAGUUUCUGCCUGCCUCUCGGAUGGAGCAGUCGCACCCGUCGUCGCGGGGGAAAAGACCUAUGAUGGUAGCGCCAUCUGGUGUGACGUCUUGGAAGUAGGUGACCACCUGUCGUCGAUCUCUGCAACUACCUGACGACAACAAGCGCUGGUCACUCCCGAGCGGUCUCUUCGCCACGGUGUCGUUGAUUUUCGAAUAUUUUUUUUCUCUCCACCCUAUUUCCAUCUCCAUUGUGGGCCAGUUGAGCUGGUAAUAUACCACUUUUCAUACCCAGGAGUUCACCUAGAAGAUAACAGAAGGAUCCUAGAUGAAAUGUCGCUACAAUGCAGCACUCAGGCGGGACGAAGGUCGGUUAAAACAAGAAGACAAACGUAUCUGCAACCACGUUUUAACCGCCCUCGUCCCGUCUGAGUGCUGCGUUCUAGCGACGUGAACUAUCACCAACUCCCCCUGCUCCUGGAUGAAAUUUCAGAUUAGAAAGUUAUCCCAGAAGGAUAACAUCAGAUGACACUUGAUGGAUUGCCCAUAUGGUGUCUGCAGGACGUUCCGAGGACAUUCUCAGAAAAAUAGGGACAUGAUAACACUUUGAGGGCACCCUGAGGACUCUAUGAGUCGUUAGAGAGAUGAGUGUUACGCAAAUCUCGUGACAGUCUGUCAUGAAGUUGGUCCGGGGCGUAGAUCAUCCUGAGGGCAGGCAUAACAUCUAAACAUAUAUCAAGAGAAAGGGAGAGAUGGAAAUAUAGCCGUACCUGUAAAUAUUGACUGUUACAGGAGACGGAACGCACUUGAACAUCACGAUACGCUUGGAUACCAUUGUGAAUGUCGUCGUAGCUUCCGUUGCUUCAAUCAUCAUUCUUGGCUUCCUGCUCCUUUGCUACAGCAGUAAGAGAACACGGGUAGGUAUCACCAAGGCGUCUCUGAGUAAAACUGAUGAGCCUCCAACUCACAAAAAUUAGCCCAAUGUCCAGGAGGAGAAUGAAUGGGAAGACAUGCUAAGAGAAAUGCACAAGGCGAUAGACGAAAGGAGUCAUAUUCAAGUGCAACAAUGUCUUCGAAUGCUACGACACCUCAGAUUGUGGCUACACCCAGACACCGGCGAGUCAGCCAUGCACAGAGCAAUCAAGAGCAACUCUUUCUAUAUAUAUGGAUUGCUUCUGUCGCACGAGUGUGAUUUCAGAAGUAAGAAAGAAUGGAAAUGCUUGAAAAGUCUAAACAGGAUUCAACGGUCGGAACUUCAAAGACAACGACUAUUCGUGACGAAAUACGACGACUCUUAUGUAAAUCACCUGAAAGCUCGAACGGAAAGUCAAAUGAACUCUCAAGGCUUCGGAAAGUAUGUUGACAAAAUGUUCAAAGCACUGGACAACAUUGAGUUAGUUCGACCUAUUCUGCAAGUAGCUGCCACUGCACAUCAUCUGAGAAUCCGAUUCGACUUCGACAGAGGUGACGUCCAAACCAUGACGGGAUGCCGUUAUAGCGUCAAUCUUGAAAUAACAGAUACUGCAAAAGAUGAAGUUUUUAUCGCAGCCAAUCCGAAAGUAACAUUCGACGCAGACGUCCUGGGAACAUUAGUGCACGAGCUGUGCCACUUUCCUCUUCGUCUGGUGUCAGGAACGGGGAUAUACCCUACUGUUGCACUGAUCUAGAGAGAAAACGUAGAUACGAUGACAUCAUUCAAGGCAUUAGGAAGAAACGAAAAGGAUUAGACAAAAUAAUCAAGAUGGCACUUGAUAAUGCACCGGAGAAGGAACUGAUAGUCCGGAUGCCCCACAUACUUGCUCUGCGAGGCGGUCCUGGAAAAGGCGACGCCAUCCUGAGAGGUCAGACACCGGAGCUCCUCGAAUUCUACAGUGAACUUGUUACAUCUGAGAUGGCAAAGUACAUCAAGAAUGCAUGCUCCAGUAAAGACACAGAAAACAUUAAGAUAGAAAACGUGAGGCUUCAAAAAGCAGAUAAGACGGAGAAGCUCAAUGUAACCUUCACGGAACCCAUGAAGCACCAGGACCUAAAGGAUGUUCCCCUCCUCAUUCUUACAGGUCCAGAGCUGUUGUUGCUUGAGAUCCUUGUCCACGAUGCGCUCAAGUCUACGGGACAGCCGUACUUAUUUUUCGAAGCAUCCCAGUGGGACGACACGCUGGCAGAUGUCUUGACUGAAAACAAAUGUAACUUCGUUCUUCUAACCUGCAACGAUAGCAGAAAACUACGCACCAUAUUCGAGCUUCUCAGCGAAGUUUCACCAGUGAUUGGCACAAGAGUAAUCCUGCUUGUACCUCGUGGACACAAACAUUACUUUCUGAGAGAGGAACAACAGGAUGGUUUUUUUUUUCUUUUUUAGAACAGCUCAUUCUUUCGUGUACAUAUGAAUCGUUCCUUCGCUUAUAUAGACAAGGCUUGCUUCGGGAAAAUUGCAGAGAAGCGUAAGGUUCUCAGUAAGUCACACAUACUAUUUCAGGGCGCCGACUAUCGGCCACUAAUUGAUGAGAUGAUUAACUUGGACAACUUUGUAAACUUUAUUAACGCCACUGCAUUCCUAAAGUUAUGCCAGUCCAAGUAUAUCGAAGUAGCGCCACAACUUAGCAAAGUGGCACAAGACGUGAAUGAUUACUACGUCAGGCGACGCUUGACCUUCGGAGUACUUGGUGAAGAUUAUGGCGAAGGGUACCUCUCGGAGACACAGGAGAAAGUUGUGGCUGUCUGUGGCCUCCCUGGAACGGGCAAGAGCGCCUUGGCGUCGAGGCUUUCAGUACAGAUAAAAAACAUUGAUGUGAAGAAUUGGGUAUUGCAUGUGUACCUUCCACGGAGAAUUGGACUUGUCAAUUUAGCAAAUGGCGUCAGAGACUUACAUCAAUUGGCCCUUCUGUGCAACGUAGAAACUAAAGGACCGGAAUUUAAAUUGUUUGAGCAUUGUGUGCAAAAUGACACUCCGGUCAAGAUUGUGAUCAUUUUUGAUGCUUUUGACAAAAUCAAAAAAGAAUGCCGUGAGUACA